rnacentral:rRNA from 12 species
AAUCAGAGAUAAGUCGUAACACGGUUAGAGUUGGGGAACCUGUUACA